GAUCGCCGUUAUGAUGGCAUCUUACGUAUUAGCUCUAUCUGAUCUCUCUUCUUCUUCAAUUUUUCCAAUUACAUGAAAAAGUCUUGAGCUUUUUAAUUUAU
rnacentral:sRNA from 1 species